UGGAGGAAUCCCUUCACGUCGGAUAAGCAAGUUUGCCGUAAACCACGUGGUUUGUCCUAAAGUGAAAGUGAAAGCGUUUUCUUCCAGCUGCUUGAUCAUCUUGCAGCGUCUUUCGCUCCCAUUUUCAGCUCCUGCAACACAAACAGAAAAGGAAACCACAAGAUGGGGAAUAGGCUAAGUAGCGCCAUGCAAGUCCACCCAGAUGGUGAAACAUCAAAAAACAAUAAGAAGAAGCCGCCUAAGGUUAAGAAUAUCAAAACAGGUGAAACCUUUGGGGCCGACCAAGCUUUGAUGGAAAAAAUUAACAGGAAGCUCAAGGGAAAAAUCAGCAGGAAGAAGAUACACCACCUCAUAGUUUUUUGUCCCAUCACGUCUCGUGUUGGCUCAGACGUGGAAGCAGCCAUGGACAAAGUGGGAGGUAAUCAGCGUAUCAUUUUGGUUUUGAUGCAUCACACCAGAGAUCCUGAUUACUCAACUGCUGGGACAAAUUGGUCUGAAAACAUUGCUAUUGUUGACUUGGAUGUUCACGUUCUCUUUCAUGAAUCUGUGCCGGGGUCGUUGAAAUGUUCACAAAAUGACAAGGCUGUGGAUCAAAUUGUUAAAUUUAUAAUGCAAAAUAAAAAGAAAAUAGGCAAGACCAGCAAAAAAUUAAAAAAAAACUGACAAAAAGAAAGAGGGGAUUAAAUCAAAAGAAAGAAAUAAAAAGAGAGAUUGAAAUAUAUCAAAUGCAAAAGCAGAGAGAACAUAAAGUUCAUGACUGAUUUACUAUGAAACAUCUACAUAUCAACUUACUGAAAUUCAAAGAAAUAAAUUCUUCUUGGAAACAAAACAUAUUGUUUAAAAAAUAUACAUAUAAAACAAGGAUAAUGAAGUUCAAUACCACUGUUGAAAAAAUUAUUAUCCAAUUUCAUUUAGUUAUGAGUUUAUUUGAAAGGUUAUGUCUUCAUGUUAUUACUCUGUGUGUUGUUUAUUUGGCUCCUUUCUUUUGUGGUAACUGUUUUUUGGAUGUUUGCUUGGGGGUUAGAAACGUUUGCACAUUCCUGCAUCAUCAGCUUUCUGAUGAAGCUGAUUUAUAACGGUCAGCCUUGCGUCCUGGUAAGAGCAAGUCCACAGAAGGUUCCAGAACAUCCUGUGGUAGAGGCCUUUGAUCAGUCGUUCGUGUGACUGUGUGUAAAAUCCCAACCUCUUUCCUUGUAAUCAUAAUAAAAGGCAGUUGGGGCCUGAGAGCCGGCGGAGUUGACCACAGACGUCGGUUCUCCUGGUCUGGCUCUGCUCCCCUCUUCUGCAGAAAAGCCAUUUAUGCCUCUGGUUGAUUCUUUGCAGGUUGGGAACCAACAUGGACCCAACAACCUCAGAUUACUUAUGAUGUCUUUGAUGGUACUAAACAGUAUUUUCCAGGCUCUAAUUAGACAAAAAAAAAGCAAAUCAGAAGAAAUCUAUGUAUAAUAAUGUAUAGUCAUAUUUAAUAAAUCGUGUGUUCUGGUGAGACUUGUCAGAAAAUUACCUCCUAAAAACACAGCGAAGCAAUUCAAGUUGUUUUUUUCAUUUACCACACUUUUCUGCAACAAACAUAUUUGUUUUUUCUUUUUGGUCGGACGUAACUAUUCUAAUGCUAAGUGUGAUCAUAAAUAACAGAGAUAAGGGAUGGGAAACAUCAUUCUGAGUAAUUAAUCUACAUAAUGUGUUUCGUUUAGAUUAACUUUUCAGUAACAUUUUAAUUGAUCAAAUAUGAAUUUAUGUAUUUAAGAAUAAAAGUUCUCUCUUGUCACUUUGUGUUUAAAUGACAUGAAAUUCAGUUUUCAGGACUGAAGACCUUGUAAAAUAACUAAUAAUUAAAAUAUCUUUAAGCUUCUCUGUCACGUUAGAGAAUCAUUCCUGUUUGUCUGCUUUUAUUCAUUUCUGAGGUUCAUGUCAGAACCAUAGUUGUUUAUUUUGUACAUGUUGCCUCUGUCCUUUCUGUAUGAAGCAUAAUACUCAAGAUAAUGAUGUCAUUUCCUCCACCUCUUUUCAACUUUGACCUUUGGCUAAAGCUAAGCCUUAUCUCUCUUUACAUGUCAUUUGUUAUUCAUGUUUUUAUCACAUUGACUGUUGUAAUUCUUUUCUUUGUAUUAGUGCAGAUGAAUCAUCUCAGCAUCAUUUAUAAAUAGUUCAAAAUGCUGCUGAUCUUAAAACUGGUGCUCUUCAAAUAUAAUAUAAUCAGAUAUUAGAACCAUUCAGAAAUCUUUAUUUCCUCUGUUCUUUGGCUGUUUGAUACAAGACACUAAAAUAUUUCUAGCUUGUAAGGCACUUACACUAAAACUCCACAGAUGAAUUAUGCACAAUAUGGAAGAAUGUUUGUCAUGAAUGUAAAAUAGCUCCUGUAGCUGUUCAUCAGUCAGGGUUGUACUUUUUUAUCUUUUGAUAUUUUGCAUUAUUUGGGACAUAUUUUGGACAUUUUUAACUGGAUGAUUUUACUGAUUGAUUUUGUGCGUCAUUUCUUUGUAUAGAAGUUAUAAAUAAAAGCUGACUUUCUAAUUUGUAAAUUGCACAUAUGUACUAUGAUAUUCCUGAAGAUUCGUUCGUAAUGGAAGGCAUAAAAAAAUAAAAUAAAUGAAUAAA